GGCUCACGCUUUCGCUAAACCAGCUGCCGUGUCAUCGGGGCCGUUUGCAGGCCGUGGGCAUCAAGUGGCGCCGCGCCACGCGCUGGGGCCUGGGAGCGCCACUUCGCCUCCUGAGGCGGCGGGGCUCGGGCUCGGCAGGGCCUGGAGCUCUGCGGGGAUAACGAGGCUUUUCCACUGUGAAAAAUGUGUAUCUUGUGACUGGCUUUUCGCAAGUAUUAAAGUGAAUAUUGUUUGUGUUAUGUUAGAAAGUUGUGUUGUAUUAAUUUUCUUAAGUAGUGUGUUAAAUAUAGUUUUAGGUUAUGACAUAAUGUUAUAAUAGAAACUAUGCUGUGGAAGAUACUUUUUUAAGAAAGGACUCACACCAGAUAACAGCCACAGGACACCUAAAUCUUUCAGAGAAAGAGAAAACUAGAAAACUAACUUCUUCCCACCUCGCUCAGACUGGAAGACGGCAUGAGGAUUAAGAGGAGAAGUUGACAGUGACCAGACAGAAUCCUGUGUUUGAAUGGAAUUUGUGCAUCGUGUAUGAGAUAUAUGAAUAUGCAACAGGCGAUUGUUUAUAAGGGUUAAUCCUCUGUUAAUGGGUGUCCUUUUUCGGGCUUGUGUUGCCCAGAAAAAGGUACCCAGAUACCUGUUUCUCCUUGUUUUUAUUGUCUCAUACUGUCCUAAUCUCAAUUGUUCAAAUCUUAUUACUCUAAUUAUAUUACUAUUUUUUACUAUUUUAUUACUAUUAAACUUUUAAAAUUUUACAAACAAGUGAUUGGCGUUUUUCAGAUCCAGGGCAUCUGCAAACAUCUUUGACGUUUGCAUAGCUACAUUGCACAGAUAACAGAAUUGAUGGCAUUCCAUCCCAAGCCUGCAUGUGGGGCUUAAACGGAAUGAAGAUGAGCUGCUGUUGCUUAUGUCACCUGUGCUCGGUGUCAGCGACUGCCACCAGAGGCUGGUCACCCUCACACACCAGUGAGGAGGCUCUUCCAGCAGGGGACAGCGGUGCACAGCAGCGCUUGAAAGUAUCCCGGAACCUUUACGGCCUCUUGUCUUCCCAAGAUCCAGUAUGAGGUGCUGCAUGCUUCUGAAUCAUGCAGAAGACAAUUCACCUUAUUAAAUAAUUUAAGAAAAUGUCUUACAAACAGUGUUUCGUAGCACUGAUUUUCUGAUAUGUUUGUAUUUUUAAUAAAUUACCUGGAGGAUGUAUAGUUACUUGCACCAUAUAUCUUUAAAAAACUACUUUGUCACAUUCCUUUUCUUGGGAAAUAGCCUUCCAUGUACAACAAAGAGUGACCAAGAAAAAAUUUCCUUUCCAAUAGAGAGGACCUGACCACAGGUCAUCUUGUACUUUCUGUGGAGAUGGAAAGAGCAUUGGAGUGGCCUUUUUCCUUCUCUCCUGUAGGAAACUUCUUCACAUAUUAAUACAAUAUAUAGUAUAAUUCCCUGUGUAGUAGUCUUUGAGCCAAGGAAAUAUUUAAGAACUUUUGAUAAUUCUGAUUUGAGGAAAACUCCAUUUUCAUUUAGACUUAGUAGGGGCAUAUGCAAUAUCUUGUGAUGAAAAAUGCUUUUCAGACUGAAUAUUUAGUACAUGGUUUUUAUUUCUGCAACAAAUUUAUUCUCUUUACAAUUGUCCCCUGUGAGCUCUGGAUGCAGUUAUUUUCUGAUACUGUGGAGGGAUUGGCAGGUCACUUCAACCCAGCUGUCAGGAUGGGUUCUAAAUAUAGCCCAAAGUGUUUCUGCUGGGGUAAAAAUUGUAAAUUUCAGAUUAUUUUACUUUAAGUCUGUUCUCCUGAUGUAAUAGAAGAUUUCAUAAAUAGUUGCUAAGAAGUUAAAACCUAAUGAAUAUUAAAGUCAUGUUACUUAAAGCCUUACUCUGCCUUGAUUGCAUGGACUUCUGCCCUUUGCACAUAUCAUUUAGAAGGGGGCAGACAGCACAAAAAGGUUGAAAUCCAUCACAAGCAAUUUUUCUGGAACUUUUAGUUAUUGUCUUACAGAGAUGGGAAGACUGGGAAGUGCCAUUGUGCCAUUGUUUGUGAUUUAAAUUAUCUCUCCGUGUUAUUUUAAUUCUGUUCUCAGAAACAAAUCCCGUUAGAAGAACCUUUGCAGCCUUCUGCCAGUAACCAAGUAGGUAAUAAAUGAAAACCCACACAUCCAUAUGCAGGAAGCUGGUCAAUCACAGGGAAUAAUUGCCUUUCCCAGCAGCUUGCUUCGAGGUGGGAAAGGCUACAUAUUUGUUCCUUGCUGCAGUGUGUUUAUAGAUCAUGCUGUGGCUUGGAAUAGGAAAAUAGCACUGCAUAAAGAUUUGUGCUAUGAUAGUUCAGUACUAUGUAGGCUCAUAUCUUAGAGAGGGUAGACCCAGGGGACACUUUGCUCUGAGUCUCUUGUUACUGUAGGAAUUUCACCAAUGUCUGAGAGGAAAUUGGAAUUUUGCAGAAAGCAAAAACCCAACAGCAUAUAAUUUAAGCCCACAAGCAGUCUAUCCCAUUUAUUUGAAAGAAGAUCCCUCUGAAUUUUAGUUUCUAGGGUCUGAGCUCUAAAAUCUGUUUUCUUGCAAGUCAUCCUUAGCACACAUACUUACUCCUUUUGGGGACUGUGAGGUCUCCUUUUGGUACAGCAGGGAAUGGGAUAUUCAGACUGGGGUGUUUGUUAGAUAUUUCACAGGCUGCCUGCAGUGUCUUGUUUCAAGCAUGUGAAAUAAGGAACAGACAGGAGUCUCUGCUAGAUUUUGAAGCAGAGGUUGUGACUUUUGGAAGAGUAGGUCCAUAGGCUGUCAAAAAUUCAGACAUUGGCCUGCAGGGAAGAGUAACAAAGCAAAUUGCUAAGUCUGGAAGCAAACUAUGGUAAGAGAUGUUUUCAAACUUUUAGGGCCCUAGGAUCACCUCUAUACCUUGAAAGUUUUUUUUUUUCUUCUUCUCUGUGGGUAUAAAGAGACAAAUUUUCUUUUUUUCCUGCAACUUUGAAUUAAUAGUGACAAUGAACUGUUUCAGUCUGGAAUAUGGAUUCAACUUACCUAUCUAUCAGUAAUGGGACAUGGCAAACACAAAAAUGUGGACUUGAUCUUGAGGAUUGGGAAAGAAUAUUGACCACAGGAAAGAGUAUUUAGGGACCUAAGAGGGCUGCCUUGUGUGACCUGCUGACCAUGUGGGUAUGCAUGCAUGCAGUGAUAGACUGGGUAAUAUGAUCAGCCUCAUGAUUUGAGGGUUCUUGUAUCAAAGUGCCAUCAAGUUCCUAAUUGGGACAUAGUGCCAUUUUAUUUUAUUUAGCAAAAUUGUUAUAACUCAUGAGUUGAAAAAUAAGGGCCAGAGUCAGAGAGGAAAUAAAACACCACAAGAAAUAUGUAUGCACAAGCAAUUUCUAUAAACAGUAAUGAAAACGUGUAAGUUACAUAUAGGUCCUGGUGCAGAAGGUGAAUUUAAUAUUCCUCAAGGCUGUGUCAUUGAAGAGACCCUUGGUUCAGCCGUGGUAAUACCUGUGUGUUAGCACCUUUCUGUGCUGCUUUCACCUGGCGUGCCUUGCCUGGGAGUGCUGCUGAGCAUUGGCUACACCUGUGCUUUGAAUCAGGUGCUGGCAAUCCUGAAGCUCUCACUUAGGGCCGCAGUACAGCCCUUUGUCCUGGCAUCCUGAGAUGGAAGUGGUUACUGGGCUUGUUUCAGCUGAGGUCUGUGUAAACCCAUUUGGCAGAGGCAGUGUUUGAGGAAGUCCAGUGCCACUAACUUUGUCUGAGGCAGUGGCUGUAGCUGAGAAGCAUCCUGUGCACAACUUGGGCUCCUCAUUAGGAGCUUUGCUACAGCAUGGUCUUCAAACAGGUCAGAUUGCUGGAAAAACUUAGAGAUUACUUUUACAAUGACUCCCACUGAAAGAAACACAAUUCACUUGUACCUAUUGCAUUUUGGGCUUUAUCUUUUAUUUGCAAGGCAGCACUUUAACAUCUCUGUUUCUAUAAAUGAGCCCAAAUGAGAAACAGAUAAUGAUUUUGGAUGUGGCGUCAGUCAGCACUAUCCCAUUUUGCAGUCCACAUGAGAAAGUGCAAGUGUGGCAGAUGUGCCACUUAGUGAAGCACUACGAGAUGGAGCACUUCCAGAAUGCUUGUUCCUUAGCUGUUAUCUUCUCAUGCUCUGCUGAAAGCUCAGAAUGUUAGAAAUGUCAGAUGCCUUGAUUUCAUGGCUGUGCACAGUGGGAGCUCAGAGCCACGCAGUAGAGCCUUAUUGGAAGCACAGAAAAUUUGAGGCAGUCCUCGUUUCCUCCAUGUGCAGCUCUUUAAAGGUGGGACUCUUAUGAAAACAUGAUGGAUUUUCACCAAGCCUGUGAUAAUGUGAGUUUUGUACCAGAUAGGUGUUACUUUUUUGUCUAGAUAGACUGCUGGUGGAAGAAGCCAACACUUACUUGAUAUGCUUUAAUAUUUUCCCAUUUCUCUGGUGUAUGCUGCUUGCUAUUUUAGAUUCUGAAUCCUCUGAAGCACUGAUAGAAUCUCUGGAAAUUAUCCCCUGGACAAUGUGUGCAAUUGUAAUUCAAAUGAAAUAAUGAAAAUAAUAAGAAGACUUGAUAUAUUCUGACUAUAUGUAAUGCAGUAGACAAUAGCUUGAUAUGUUUGUUACAUUUAGAUCUUUGUGCAAAUUAAAGAUUUUAUUUUUUCUGUAGUGGGCUGCAUUUUGCUUUAGCUGUAUUUGGAAUUUCACAUGUAUCAAAGCUUAAUGUGAACAAAUUACAAUGUUUUCAAUGCAGUGCAAUUUGCAAUUCUCUUUAUUUUUUUCUCCAUGGUCUUUUCCUUUGUUCCUCUGAAUGAGGGUAUUUUUUUCUUUCUCUCUCACUGAUUACUUUUGGAUCCAAGUAUGAACAUUCUUUCUUUUUUCCUUUUUAAAUGAAAGUACCUGAACUUACCUGGGUCUUUUGUACGCA